rnacentral:lncRNA from 1 species
GCCUUUCUGCGACUGAGGUUGAACGUGAUCCCUCGUUUACCUACGUUCAUCCGUAGGUGAGGGUUAUUAUUUGAAUACUUGCCCCCUCCUUUUGCUCACCUUUCUGCGACUGAAGUUGAGCGUGAUCCCUCGUCUACCUACGUUCAUCCGUAGGUGAUGGUCACUCCUGAGUACGUCCCUCGUCUAACCUAAGUUCUUCCGUAGGUGAGGUUCACUCUUGAACACUCACCCCUCUGUCCUACG